UAUGUAUGGCCACACCGGCCUUGACCAUGUCCCUAAUCGGCAUUGAGAAGCUACAAUGCCUUUAAUCGGCACAGUGCCUAGAAGCAAAAAUUGGCACGGGCUUUGUCUCUCCUCUUCAUUUUUCUUUCUUUUUUUCCUCUCUCGCAUGACCGACGCCCCCAAAUCUGCCUUCUCGUGAUCUGCUCCAAGCGGCGACAACAGCAACUCCGACGGCGUUUGAGAAGGGCAACUCAGAGGAGGACGAAGCUGGCCUUCAGCAUUUACUCCGCGAGAGCAGGGAAACUCAAAGGAGGACGGAGCUGGCCUUGAACAUCUUCUCUGGUGAAGCCUUACUGAAAUCCAACACUGAGGCUGUUGUGGACUUCCACGAACGUGGUUGCGAAUGCUGGCAUGAUCCCAGCAACUUCAAUCUUCAAUUCUGGCAGCAAGCUUCAUUUCAUCUCUCUGCUAUUCAACUUCGCGUAGUUUGUGUUGGUGGAAUCAGUAGAUCAGAGGGUGAGGACAGUAAUUUUUGUGUAAUCUGUUGCUCUUCACUGAAGUGUUUAACUGCGGGAAGAACCAGCCAUUAUGUAUCAUUGUCCGGGAUCAGUUUAGUCAUCUGUAUUGCUGUCCACCGGCGUUGCUGGUUCCAUCUCCGGGCCCCCUUGUGACAAAGGAGGUAGUCGAUUGGAGUUGAUCGCGGAAUAGUGGUUUGGAUAGUUAGUUUAUUUUCCUAUUGAAUGUUUCAUGUUUAGUUGUUAGUUUACUUUUGUGUUUAAUCUAUGUGUUAUUUCCUUAUGAUACAUGUGGAGUGUUUAGCUUUACUUUGUUUAGUUUUAUUUAUGUAUGAUUGUUAAUCUUGUAUCAUAGGGUGACAAUGUGAUACAUGUUUAGCUUUUAUGCAUAGUUAGGUUUUA